rnacentral:lncRNA from 1 species
AUCACUAGAGCAACCAAAAAGCUUUAUGACGCAUGUUAUGCGUCUUGGCAUGAAUUCUCAUUCUCACUGAAGGAGGCAAUUUUCAAUGAAUUUAAGGUAUAAAUAUUCGGUUAAGCAGCAUAAUUAUUUAUUUUUAUGAUAUUUUCAUAUAAUAUUUAACUUUUGAAAUAAAGAGCAAGUGUGUAUAAGAACACCAGUAUAGCGCGGACGUGGCUACAAAUUUUCAUCUGAAACAUCGCAAGCGGUUGUCUCAUAUUUUCUCCAAAGCUAGACAGAUGAACCAGAAUCCUGACUGGUUGCUUCAGAUUUUUUGGGAUGAUUUUCAAAUGCAAUGAUUUACUGUAGAUUUCUUAGAGAAGAGCGAAAUAGAAAAGAAAGCUCGCGCAUCUGAGAAGGUAAGAUCCUUGCACACUAGAGGAGCAGUCAUCCUGGGGACAAUAAAAAGAAGAAUGAUACAUAAUUGCUUAAUUUAUUUUAAAUUUAUAUGCAUAUGAAUUCUAUUAAUUAAUUAAAAUUUAUGAGUUUUUAGGAAAAGAUGUUGGGUCGUCCGAUGAACCAAGAUGAGCUAUUCAAAGAGACUCAUAUUGUGAAGAAG